GUGCUCACCUUGGCAGCACAUAUGCUAACACUGAAGCAAUACAGAGAAGAUCAGCAUGGACCCUGUGUAAGAAUGACAUGCAAAUUCUUGAAGUGUUUCAUAUUUUU
rnacentral:snRNA from 1 species